AUACGAGGGGUGCUAGCGUUGUCCGGAAUCACUGGGCGUAAAGGGUCCGUAGGCGUUUUGCUAAGUUGAUUGUUAAAUCCAUCGGCUCAACCGAUGACCUGCAAUCAAAACUGGUAGAAUAGAGUUCGAGAGGGGAAAGUAGAAUUCCUGGUGUAGCGGUGACAUGCGUAGAUAUCAGGAGGAACACCGAUAGCGAAGGCAGCUUUCUGGCUCGAUACUGACGCUGAGGGACGAAAGCGUGGGGAGCAAACAGGAUUAGAUACCCCAGUAGUCC
rnacentral:rRNA from 1 species